AACAGAACCCCCGAGCGUUACCCGGAUUCAUUGGGCGUAAAGUGUGCGUAGCCGGUUUAGCAAGUCAUUGGUUAAAGGCCAAGGGCUCAACCUUUGGACUGCCAACGAAACUGCUGAACUAGAGGGCGUUAGGGGCUGAUGGAACUCUUGGUGGAGGGGUGAAAUCCGUUGAUAUCAAGAGGAACACCGAAAGCGAAGGCAUUCAGCUGGGGCGACCCUGACGGUGAGGCACGAAAGCGUGGGGAUCAAAAAGG
rnacentral:misc_RNA from 1 species